rnacentral:rRNA from 1 species
UCUCAGUUCGGAUUGUAGUCUGCAACUCGACUACAUGAAGCUGGAAUCGCUAGUAAUCGCGGAUCAGAAUGCCGCGGUGAAUACGUUCCCGGGUCUUGUACACACCGCCCGUCACACCAUGGGAGUCGGAAAUGCCCGAAGUCUGUGACCCAACCUACGGGAGGGAGCAGCCGAAGGCAGGUCGGAUGACUGGGGUGAAGUCGUAACAAGGUAUC